rnacentral:rRNA from 1 species
UACAGCCAUACCACCCUGCAUAUGCACAAUCUUGUCUGGUCUCAGAAGCUAAGCAGGGUCAGGCCUGGUUAGUAUUUGGAUGGGAGACAAAUAUCCAGAAGAAACUGCUC